rnacentral:piRNA from 1 species
UGCUCUAGCUAACCUCAUGAAUAAGG